rnacentral:rRNA from 1 species
AACGUAGGUGGCAAGCGUUAUCCGGAAUUACUGGGCGUAAAGGGUGCGUAGGCGGGUCUUUAAGUCAGGGGUGAAAUCCUGGAGCUCAACUCCAGAACUGCCUUUGAUACUGAAGAUCUUGAGUUCGGGAGAGGUGAGUGGAACUGCGAGUGUAGAGGUGAAAUUCGUAGAUAUUCGCAAGAACACCAGUGGCGAAGGCGGCUCACUGGCCCGAUACUGACGCUGAGGCACGAAAGCGUGGGGAGCAAACAGG